rnacentral:rRNA from 1 species
CAGCAGCAGCCGCGGUAAUACGAAGGGGGCUAGCGUUGUUCGGAUUUACUGGGCGUAAAGGGCGCGUAGGCGGACUGAUAAGUCAGGGGUGAAAUCCCAAGGCUCAACCUUGGAACUGCCUUUGAUACUGUUUGUCUUGAGUUCGAGAGAGGUAAGUGGAACUGCGAGUGUAGAGGUGAAAUUCGUAGAUAUUCGCAAGAACACCAGUGGCGAAGGCGGCUUACUGGCUCGAAACUGACGCUGAGGCGCGAAAGCGUGGGGAGCAAACAGGAUUAGAUACCCGUGUAGUCCCUGUCUCUUAUAC